rnacentral:snRNA from 1 species
GUUUUGUUGGUUGGUUAA